GAAGAGUAUUGUGAUCGUGGAAGUUCGCUUUUAGCCACUCAGAGCUCUGCUUCCUGGCUGUAUUCUUUAAGAGGCCAUUGUGAAAUUAAAUUGUAAGCAGACGGGAUUGGCUGUAGUUAUUACUUACCAGGGUAGAUUUUCUUGAGGAAUCCUAAAGCCAUAGAGUUAAUUGUCAUUCGCAGCACAUUGUUUAUUUCAUCUGACCUCAGUCUGGGGCUGCGUUUCUUAAGCUUUGGGCGGUGGUGAAGGUAACUGUGGUCCAUGUUGCUCCUCGCUGAUGCUCCCAGUCACCUCGGAUGAUGCUGUCCUAGCGCCUGGACGUGUGUGCUUGCUGUGAUGUCCUUGAAAAUCCGGCUCUGAACCGUCAGCUAACUUUUAACAUCUUCAAAACUGUUGUGAUAACUGAUGGGAUUUUGCUUUACGAAUUGUUGCAAUACAUUGACCCUUAGGAAUAACAUUUUUG
rnacentral:lncRNA from 1 species